UUGGAAAAUGGCGCCAUGGAGGGUGAUAGCCCCGUAAAAGUAUCCCUUUUCCUUUUAUCCAUUCCCUCCAAAGAGUCGAGUUGUUUGGGAAUGCAGCUCUAAGUGGGUGGUAAAUUCCAUCUAAAGCUAAAUAUUGGCGAGAGACCGAUAGCGAACAAGUACAGUGAUGGAAAGAUGAAAAGCACUUUGAAAAGAGAGUGAAAAAGUACGUGAAAUUGUUGAAAGGGAAUGGUUUGUUUUCAGACACAACCUCGGUUGGGCCAGCAUCGGAGUGGGGGGAGACAAAAAAGAAAAGGAAUGUAACUCU
rnacentral:rRNA from 1 species